rnacentral:rRNA from 1 species
UACGUAGGUGGCUAGCGUUGUCCGGAUUUACUGGGCGUAAAGAGCGCGCAGGCGGUCGUUCAAGUCGAGUGUGAAAGCCCCCGGCUCAACUGGGGAGGGUCACUCGAUACUGGUCGACUCGAAGGCAGGAGAGGGAAGCGGAAUUCCCGGUGUAGUGGUGAAAUGCGUAGAUAUCUGGAGGAACACCGGUGGCGAAGGCGGCGUCCUGGACCAACACUGACACUGAGGAGCGAAAGCCAGGGGAGCAAACGGG